UACGUAGGGUGCAAGCGUUGUCCGGGAUUAUUGGGCGUAAAGAGCUCGUAGGUGGUCUAUCACGUCGGAUGUGAAACCCUGAGGCUCAACCUCAGGCCUGCAUUCGAUACGGGCAGACUAGAGUGUGGUAGGGGAGACUGGAAUUCCUGGUGUAGCGGUGAAAUGCGCAGAUAUCAGGAGGAACACCGGUGGCGAAGGCGGGUCUCUGGGCCUGUACUGACGCUGAGGAGCGAAAGCGUGGGGAGCAAACAGG
rnacentral:rRNA from 1 species